CCCUUAGAUGUUCUGGGCCGCACGCGUGCUACACUGAGUGGAUCAGCGGGUCAGGUUGCGCGAAAGUGUUUCCUAAUCUUUAAAUCCGCUCGUGAUGGGGAUUGACGGUUGCAAUUUUCCGUCAUGAACGAGGAAUACCUUGUAAGCGCGGGUCAUCAUCCCGCGCUGAAUACGUCCCUGCCCUUUGUACACACCGCCCGUCGCUCCUACCGAUUGAGUGGUCCGGUGAGGCUUUGGGAUCUGAGCGGAAAGAGCGUUUCGCUGUUUCUGCCCGGAAAACUCAGUCGAACCUUAUCAUUUAGAGGAAGGAGAAGUAGUAACA
rnacentral:rRNA from 1 species